rnacentral:rRNA from 1 species
GAUGAACGCUGGCGGCGUGCCUAAUACAUGCAAGUCGAGCGAACAGACGAGGAGCUUGCUCCUCUGACGUUAGCGGCGGACGGGUGAGUAACACGUGGAUAACCUACCUAUAAGACUGGGAUAACUUCGGGAAACCGGAGCUAAUACCGGAUAAUAUAUUGAACCGCAUGGUUCAAUAGUGAAAGACGGUUUUGCUGUCACUUAUAGAUGGAUCCGCGCCGCAUUAGCUAGUUGGUAAGGUAACGGCUUACCAAGGCGACGAUGCGUAGCCGACCUGAGAGGGUGAUCGGCCACACUGGAACUGAGACACGGUCCAGACUCCUACGGGAGGCAGCAGUAGGGAAUCUUCCGCAAUGGGCGAAAGCCUGACGGAGCAACGCCGCGUGAGUGAUGUAGGUCUUCGGAUCGUAAAACUCUGUUAUUAGGGAAGAACAAAUGUGUAAGUAACUAUGCACGCCUUGACGGUACCUAAUCAGAAAGCCACGGCUAACUACGUG